rnacentral:rRNA from 1 species
AUCGAUGAAGAACGCAGCGAAAUGCGAUAAGUAAUGUGAAUUGCAGAAUUCAGUGAAUCAUCGAAUCUUUGAACGCACAUUGCGCCCCUUGGUAUUCCGAGGGGCAUGCCUGUUCGAACGUCAUAAUAACCAAUCCAGCCAGGCGCUGGGUCUUGGGCGACGCCCCCGGGCGCGCCUCAAAAGCAGUGGCGGUGCCACCGGGCCCUGAGCGUAGUAAAUACCCUCGCUAUAGGACCCCGAUGGAUGCCUGCCAGCAACCCCCUAUUUUAGGUUUGACUUCGGAUCAGGUAGGGAUACCCGCUGAACUUAAGCAUAUCAAUAAGCGGAGGAAAAGAAACCAACAGGGAUUACCUCAGUAACGGCGAGUGAAGCGGUAACAGCUCAAAUUUGAAAUCUGGGCCUUUCAGGUCCCGAGUUGUAAUUUGUAGAAGAUGCUUUGGGUGUGGUCCCGGUCUAAGUUCCUUGGAACAGGACGUCAUAGAGGGUGAGAAUCCCGUAUGUGACUGGGUGCCUUCGCCCGUGUAAAGCUCUUUCGACGAGUCGAGUUGUUUGGGAAUGCAGCUCAAAAUGGGUGGUAUAUUUCAUCUAAAGCUAAAUAUUGGCCAGAGACCGAUAGCGCACAAGUAGAGUGAUCGAAAGAUGAAAAGCACUUUGGAAAGAGAGUUAAACAGUACGUGAAAUUGUUGAAAGGGAAGCGCUUGCAACCAGACUCGCACGUCGUCGAUCAUCCGGGGUUCUCCCCGGUGCACUCGGCGGCAUUCGGGCCAGCAUCGGUUUGGGCGGCGGGACAAAAGCUGUGGGAAUGUGGCUGCCUUCGGGCAGUGUUAUAGCCCUCGGUACAAUGCCGCCCGCCCGGACCGAGGACCGCGCUUCGGCUAGGAUGCUGGCGUAAUGGUUGUAAGCGACCCGUCUUGAAACACGG